GCCUCAGCUGAUGCCAUGUGGAACAGAGAUGAACUGCCGCUGCCGAGCUCUGCCCACGUUGCAGAAUCAUGAGCAAAUAUGUUGUGGAUUGGCUGUAACUCUGCUCUGGGAUCCAGGCUGAAGGAGCAGGCUCUAUCUGGAACAUUACUAGUCUCCAGGCAGAAGAAAAAGAGACAAUGGAAUGGAUGAUUGAAUGGAUGAAUGAACUCCACAGGAAGAUGAGGAAAGCCUUUAUGGAUGGAGUGAGCUUGCAGCAGAGUCUCAAAGGGCCUACCUGGAAUGCCAUGCUCCCUCACCACCAAUGCUGCCCUACCAAAUUCAGCCCAUAGACCUUCAAAAACCAAUUCAAAUCUCCAAGAAUCCAAGUCAGAAGAAAUUGCUGCCUCCUCCGAAUAAUUAUUGCUGACACUGAUUGCACGCUGUGCUUAUUGCUCAGUCCUUUGAGUUAUCUCGUCAAUAUUUCCCAUUUGUCCUAUAUCCAUCCCCACCUAGGAAUGAAUGGGACUUCAUGAUUCUGUCUAUCUUUCUAGUAUUAGAUGUCUUGCUCAGUAAAAAAUGUUUACUGUCUUGUAAAUUAAUUUAAAUAUAUGGUAAAAUAAUA
rnacentral:lncRNA from 1 species